rnacentral:rRNA from 1 species
UCCAGACUCCUACGGGAGGCAGCAGUGGGGGAUAUUGCACAAUGGGGGGAACCCUGAUGCAGCGACGCCGCGUGGGUGAAGAAGUAUUUCGGUAUGUAAAGCCCUAUCGGCAGGGAAGAAAUUGGACGGUACCUGACUAAGAAGCCCCGGCUAACUACGUGCCAGCAGCCGCGGUAAUACGUAGGGGGCAAGCGUUAUCCGGAUUUACUGGGUGUAAAGGGAGCGUAGACGGCAGUGCAAGUCUGGAGUGAAAGGCGGGGGCUCAACCCCCGGACUGCUCUGGAAACUGUACGGCUGGAGUGCAGGAGGGGCAGGCGGAAUUCCUGGUGUAGCGGUGAAAUGCGUAGAUAUCAGGAGGAACACCGGUGGCGAAGGCGGCCUGCUGGACUGCAACUGACGUUGAGGCCCGAAAGCGUGGGGAGCAAACAGGAUUAGAUACCCCUGUA